ACGAACGCUGGCGGCGUGCUUAACGCAUGCAAGUCGAACGGAAAGGCCCUGCUUGCCGGGUGCUCGAGUGGCGAACGGGUGAGUAACACGUGGGUGAUCUGCCCCUUACUUUGGGAUGAGCCUGGGAAACUGGGUCUAAUACUGGAUAGGACCAUGCUGUAGGUGGUGUGGUGGAAAGAUUAGUUUCGGUAAGGGAUGAGCUCGCGGCCUAUCAGCUUGUUGGUGGGGUAAUGGCCUACCAAGGCGUCGACGGGUAGCCGGCCUGAGAGGGUGGACGGCCACAUUGGGACUGAGAUACGGCCCAGACUCCUACGGGAGGCAGCAGUGGGGAAUAUUGCACAAUGGGCGCAAGCCUGAUGCAGCGACGCCGCGUGGGGGAUGACGGCCUUCGGGUUGUAAACUCCUUUCAGCCAUGACGAAGCCCUUGUGGUGACGGUAGUGGUAGAAGAAGCACCGGCUAACUACGUG
rnacentral:rRNA from 1 species